rnacentral:rRNA from 1 species
AGAGUUUGAUCCUGGCUCAGGAUGAACGCUAGCUACAGGCUUAACACAUGCAAGUCGAGGGGAAACGAUAUUGGAAGCUUGCUUCCGAUAGGCGUCGGCCGGCGCACGGGUGAGUAACGCGUAUCCAACCUGCCCACCACUUGGGGAUAACCUUGCGAAAGUAAGACUAAUACCCAAUGAUAUCUCUAGAAGACAUCUGAAAGAGAUUAAAGAUUUAUCGGUGAUGGAUGGGGAUGCGUCUGAUUAGCUUGUUGGCGGGGUAACGGCCCACCAAGGCGACGAUCAGUAGGGGUUCGUGAGAGGAAGGUCCCCCACCAUUGGAACUGAGACACGGUCCAAACUACCUACGGGAGGCAGCA